GUGGGGAAUUUUGGACAAUGGGCGCAAGCCUGAUCCAGCCAUUCCGCGUGCAGGAUGAAGGCCUUCGGGUUGUAAACUGCUUUUGUACGGAACGAAAAGCCUCUGGUUAAUACCCGGGGGUCAUGACGGUACCGUAAGAAUAAGCACCGGCUAACUACGUGCCAGCAGCCGCGGUAAUACGUAGGGUGCGAGCGUUAAUCGGAAUUACUGGGCGUAAAGCGUGCGCAGGCGGUGAUGUAAGACAGUUGUGAAAUCCCCGGGCACAACCUGGGAACUGCAUUUGUGACUGUAUAGCUAGAGUACGGUAGAGGGGGAUGGAAUUCCGCGUGUAGCAGUGAAAUGCGUAGAUAUGCGGAGGAACACCGAUGGCGAAGGCAAUCCCCUGGACCUGUACUGACGCUCAUGCACGAAAGCGUGGGGAGCAAACAGGAUUAGAAACCCGAGUAGUCC
rnacentral:rRNA from 1 species